GUGGGGAAUAUUGGACAAUGGGGGGAACCCUGAUCCAGCCAUGCCGCGUGUGUGAAGAAGGCCUUUUGGUUGUAAAGCACUUUAAGCGAGGAGGAGGCUACCGAGAUUAAUACUCUUGGAUAGUGGACGUUACUCGCAGAAUAAGCACCGGCUAACUCUGUGCCAGCAGCCGCGGUAAUACAGAGGGUGCAAGCGUUAAUCGGAUUUACUGGGCGUAAAGCGCGCGUAGGUGGCCAAUUAAGUCAAAUGUGAAAUCCCCGAGCUUAACUUGGGAAUUGCAUUCGAUACUGGUUGGCUAGAGUAUGGGAGAGGAUGGUAGAAUUCCAGGUGUAGCGGUGAAAUGCGUAGAGAUCUGGAGGAAUACCAAUGGCGAAGGCAGCCAUCUGGCCUAAUACUGACACUGAGGUGCGAAAGCAUGGGGAGCAAACAGGAUUAGAUACCCGAGUAGUCC
rnacentral:rRNA from 1 species